GGCAGGCCUGAGCCGGGCUCCCGCGGCUGGGGUGGCAGGAGGAGAGGCCGCGCGGCGCGGGGAGAGCCCAGAUUACUCCAGACCCUGAGCCACCGAUAACUCUCCAAGACGAUACCUGCCAUAGAAUACAUGCUAAACAAUCAUCUAUUGAACAAAUGCGACUGGAAACCAAAUUAUCAAUUUUAGCAGAUACAUAACAGUUGCCUUAUAUUAGAUUCAGACACUGACAGGAAGUGAAGCCCUAGAAAGUGAAGCCCUUUCAAAGCCCUGCUGAUGACAGGGCCUGGAUCCCUGAGUUACUGGUUGGAGUGGAGUUACCUGGAGUUGCCUCCCGAGCAGGAACAUCCAUGUUGGACAUUUUAUAUUAAAAAAGCAAAGACAUGGGGGAAAUGCUGGUGAUCUACUACAUGAAGAAAAGCAGAGUCCUAAAAUAGCAAUAUAUUGCUGGGACUACAGGAAUGAGAUGCCAAGGAGGCUGACUUUUCUCUUAUAGAAUAUAAAUACCUCUCUAAUAAAGAAAUAUUGGUUUAAAUUAUGAGUUUCAGAUACAACCGAAUCCAUUUCUGCUUCCUAGGGCUAUUUUCAUCUGAAGUCCCGUUGCACUUGAUUGUAGCCAAAGUGACUGAAGCCUCUUUGGAAAUACAUGGGACAUAAAUGUACAAUAGGGGCUGGAGGUAUAGCUCAGUAGUAGAGCAUCAGCCUAGCAAGUGUGAGGCCCUGGAUUUGAUCCCCAGCACCAAAUAUAUGUCUGUAUAAUAAAGUAAAAAGAGCUCAAAAACAAAAAUCAGACAUGAUGGGGUCUCAAACUUAGGUUCUGCUACAUGAUGACUUAUCUUCCUCAGUUUUUGAUGUGGAAUAAUAGUAACAGCUGAGAUUUGUAGAACAUUCAGUAUGUACCAGACACUGUUUAAGUGCUUUACAUACAGUGGAAUUCUGCUAAAAAUCCUCUAAGGCAAAUUUUUUAUUUUUAAUGGUACAGGAGAUUGAACCCCAGGCCUUGUACAUACUAGGCAAGUGCUCUUCAAUUGAGCUAUACCUCCAGACCUUCUUAUUUUAUUUUGAAACAAGAUCUCAUUAAAUUACCCAGGCUAGCCUUGAACUUGCAAUCCUCCUGACUCUGGCUCCGCCUCCUGAGUAGCUGGGAUUACAGGUGUGCACCACCACUUCUGGGCUGAGAUGAAUUCUAUUAGUCUUAUUUUUUCAGAUGAUAAAAAUGAAACAGAGAGAAUGUCAAUCUUGCCAAGCCCAUAUAGUGAGAAACUAGUGGAGUGAAAAUUCAAACCGAGACAGUCUAAUGUUAGGAUCUGUAGUGCUAAGCUCAGUACCAAACUGCCUUACAGAGCCAUGGAAGGAUAAAGUAAAUUAAUAUAUGUAAAGUGCCUAGCAGAAAAGUGGGCAGUCAGUAUGUUAGUUUUCUUUCUAAACGUUCCAUUGCUCUCGGGGCUCAGAAAGAGUUUUGAUUACCUUCCCCAAAAUGUAUUCUCUCAAAACACUGGGGAAAUGUAGCUGUAUGGUAGAUAGUUUUACAAUGAGUUCACUAUCAAUGACCCUCAUGUUAAAUCAGGAAUAUCAGAAAUUGUGUCCCAUAGGACUCCAUUCUGAACCUGAUUCUUUAAUAUUUCAUCAAUGAUUUACAUGGAUAGAACAGAAAAUAGGCUCCUAGAGCUGACAGAUGAUAGCAUGCUGUUAGCAGAUGACACCCAUCGUCAGCUAGGAAGGCGAGCAUCCAGGACAGGAUUAGAAUUCCAAAUGGUCUGGCAAGAUGGGGAAGAGGUGGAGGCAAAAAGAAUGAACUUCAUUAGUAACUAGCACAGAGUAAUACGAUUAUUAAGAGGGCAAACAGAUGAUACUGGCAUAGCAAGGCCAGGGACUAACAACGAAUUAUUGUUGCUGGAAAGAGUUAAUGGUGGAAAUUGUUCAGAACUGGAAAUGAGACAGGAAGUCAAGCAUGAUUCUGGAAAUGUACUGACAAAUAAGACUAUGUUGGAGUGAAUCAAUUUUCCCAUUAAAUACUGUAUUUCAAAGCCCUUUUUUGAAUGUUUUUCCCCCUUUCAAUAUUGUUCUGGAUGUCUUGGAAAAGGCACAGAGAAAGCAGAAGAAAUCUUUAUGGUUGCAAAUUAUAAUGUGACAUCCCUUAAUUGAAGAAAGCAAGUCCAUUGCUGACAGUUCAUUUAAGAAUCUGAGCACCAUUUAUGUGCUAGCCUUUGUGCUGGGUGCUGGGAGACAAAAACUAUCAAGACCUGGUUUGUAUCCUUGAGUUUGGAGACGAGGAUGAUCACUUUUAAGGCUAUAAAAGACUAGGUAUUUAGAACAGGUCAGAGAUCCCUGAUAUUUAUGUCAGUCAUGGGUAACUCCUGUGUACCUCUCUCCUUUUUCUCCUCUUCCUGUUUCCUCCCUUUCUACCUUUUACUGUCCUUUACAUUUUAUACUCUUCAGAUCUGUGAUUGGUGACUACUAGCAUGGCAGGUUAGCCAGACAUUUUCAGUAAAGUCCUGUCUGAGACUGACAGCAUACCAAGCACUUCUCUUUUUGCAUUUCAAGGUAUUUCUGUAAAAUUAUCUUUCAUCCUCCACAUACUCUGCUAAAGUUGCAGGCAAGGAGGUAAGGCUUGGAGAGAAAAGAAUAGGUCCUUCAGUUCAUCUGUUUGGUUGGAGAGAUGGCUGGAGAAUGUAUGUUACAUAUAAAUAGUAUAGUAUUAAAGAAUUUGAUAUUUAUCUUGUUGAUGACAGCAAAUUAAUGAAGGUUUGUGAGAAAGGGAAUCAAAGAUUGAUUUAGGGUUUUAGGAAGAGUAAACUUAUUAUAGAGACAAUGGAUUCUUGGGGUACAGAUUGGAGGCAAAGGUCCUGAUAAAAGAUGAUAACAAAUCUACAGAAAAAAUAAAGUUAGAGGAGGCAGAGAAUACAUGGAAGUGAGAGACACUGUAAAGGAAAUAUCAAUAAAACUUGGUGCCUAACUAAGUGAAGGUGCAGAGAGAGAGGGGUGGGGGAGGGAG